rnacentral:rRNA from 2 species
UGCAAGUCGAGCGGACUGAUGGGAGCUUGCUCCCUGAUGUCAGCGGCGGACGGGUGAGUAACACGUGGGCAACCUGCCUGUAAGACUGGGAUAACUUCGGGAAACCGGAGCUAAUACCGGAUAAUUUCAGGAACCUCCUGGUUCCUGUAUAAAAGACGGCAUCUAGCUGUCACUUACAGAUGGGCCCGCGGCGCAUUAGCUAGUUGGUGAGGUAACGGCUCACCAAGGCGACGAUGCGUAGCCGACCUGAGAGGGUGAUCGGCCACACUGGGACUGAGACACGGCCCAAACUCCUACGGGAGGCAGCAGUAGGGAAUCUUCCGCAAUGGACGAAAGUCUGACGGAGCAACGCCGCGUGAGCGAUGAAGGCCUUCGGGUCGUAAAGCUCUGUUGUUAGGGAAGAACAAGUACCAAAGUAACUGCUGGUACCUUGACGGUACCUAACCAGAAAGCCACGGCUAACUACGUGCCAGCAGCCGCGGUAAUACGUAGGUGGCAAGCGUUGUCCGGAAUUAUUGGGCGUAAAGCGCGCGCAGGCGGUCCUUUAAGUCUGAUGUGAAAGCCCACGGCUCAACCGUGAAGGGUCAUUGGAAACUGGGGGACUUGAGUACAGAAAAGGAAAGUGGAAUUCCACGUGUAGCGGUGAAAUGCGUAGAGAUGUGGAGGAACACCAGUGGCGAAGGCGACUUUCUGGUCUGUAACUGACGCUGAGGCGCGAAAGCGUGGGGAGCAAACAGGAUUAGAUACCCUGGUAGUCCACGCCGUAAACGAUGAGUGCUAAGUGUUAGAGGGUUUCCGCCCUUUAGUGCUGAAGUUAACGCAUUAAGCACUCCGCCUGGGGAGUACGGUCGCAAGACUGAAACUCAAAGGAAUUGACGGGGGCCCGCACAAGCGGUGGAGCAUGUGGUUUAAUUCGAAGCAACGCGAAAACCUUACCAGGCUUGAAUC